UAGCGUAGGGUGCGAGCGUUGUCCGGAAUUAUUGGGCGUAAAGGGCUCGUAGGCGGUUUGUCGCGUCGGGAGUGAAAACCUCGGGCUUAACUCGGGGCUUGCUUUCGAUACGGGCAGACUGGAGGUAUGCAGGGGAGAACGGAAUUCCUGGUGUAGCGGUGAAAUGCGCAGAUAUCAGGAGGAACACCGGUGGCGAAGGCGGUUCUCUGGGCAUUACCUGACGCUGAGGAGCGAAAGUGUGGGGAGCGAACAGG
rnacentral:rRNA from 1 species